GUGCUGGCUUCAGCAGCACAUACACUAAAACUGAAACGAUACAGAGAAGAUUAGCAAGGCCCUGUAUAAGGAUGGCAUGCAAAUUUGGGAAGCAUUCCAUAUUUUU